UACAGGCUUUAGCUUGCAACUUGAAACUUAGUGUAGGACUAAUAGUGAAAGUGAAGCAAGAAAUACAUGUAAAAAAAAAAAAUUGCUAACCCUUGUAACUUCCUUUAACCCUUGUAACUUCCUUUACUCUUUUGCUUAUACUUUACAUUAUUGAAUCUAUUAUGUUAUAUCAGUGAAAUUUUAGGCUAUCCCUCUUACAAAAAAGAUAGGCUAACCUAAAAUUUCACUGAUAUAACAUAAUAG
rnacentral:misc_RNA from 1 species